AGCCGCCGCGGGAAUACGUAGGGUGCGAGCGUUAAUCGGAAUUACUGGGCGUAAAGCGUGCGCAGGCGGUUUUGUAAGACAGGCGUGAAAUCCCCGGGCUCAACCUGGGAAUGGCGCUUGUGACUGCAAAGCUAGAGUGCGGCAGAGGGGGAUGGAAUUCCGCGUGUAGCAGUGAAAUGCGUAGAUAUGCGGAGGAACACCGAUGGCGAAGGCAAUCCCCUGGGCCUGCACUGACGCUCAUGCACGAAAGCGUGGGGAGCAAACAGGAUUAGAUACCCCCGUAGUCCCUGUCUCUUAUACC
rnacentral:rRNA from 1 species